UCCAGACUCCUACGGGAGGCAGCAGUGAGGGAUAUUGCACAAUGGGGGAAACCCUGAUGCAGCGACGCCGCGUGAGUGAAGAAGUACUUCGUUACGUAAAGCUCUCUCAGCAGGGAAGAAAAUGACGGUACCUGACUAAGAAGCCCCGGCUAACUACGUGCCAGCAGCCGCGGUAAUACGUAGGGGGCAAGCGUUAUCCGGAAUUACUGGGUGUAAAGGGAGCGCAGACGGCAGUGCAAGUCUGGAGUGAAAGGCGGGGGCUCAACCCCGGGACUGCAUUUGGAACUGUGCUGCUAGAGUGUCGGAGAGGCAGGCGGAAUUCCUAGUGUAGCGGUGAAAUGCGUAGAUAUUAGGAGGAACACCAGUGGCGAAGGCGGCCUGCUGGACGAUGACUGACGUUGAGGCUCGAAAGCGUGGGGAGCAAACAGGAUUAGAUACCCGCGUA
rnacentral:rRNA from 1 species